rnacentral:rRNA from 1 species
UACGUAGGGUGCAAGCGUUGUCCGGAAUUAUUGGGCGUAAAGAGCUUGUAGGCGGUUUGUCGCGUCUGCUGUGAAAUUUCGGGGCUCAACCCCGAACUUGCAGUGGGUACGGGCAGACUAGAGUGUGGUAGAGGAGACUGGAAUUCCUGGUGUAGCGGUGAAAUGCGCAGAUAUCAGGAGGAACACCGAUGGCGAAGGCAGGUCUCUGGGCCAUAACUGACGCUGAGAAGCGAAAGCGUGGGGAGCAAACAGG